rnacentral:rRNA from 1 species
CCGACACUGACGCUCAUGUACGAAAGCGUGGGUAGCAAACAGGAUUAGAUACCCUGGUAGUCCACGCCGUAAACGAUGUCUACUAGCAGCUCGUCUCGUUAGAGAGGUUUUGCGCAGCUAACGCGUUAAGUAGACCGCCUGGGGAGUACGGCCGCAAGGUUAAAACUCAAAUGAAUUGACGGGGGCCCGCACAAGCGGUGGAGCAUGUGGUUUAAUUCGAUGCAACGCGAAGAACCUUACCAUCCCUUGACAUCCAGAGAAUUUACUAGAGAUAGUUUAGUGCCUUCGGGAACUCUGAGACAGGUGCUGCAUGGCUGUCGUCAGCUCGUGUUGUGAAAUGUUGGGUUAAGUCCCGCAACGAGCGCAACCCUUAUCCUUAGUUGCUAACAGUUAGGCUGAGAACUCUAAGGAGACUGCCGGUGACAAACCGGAGGAAGGUGGGGACGACGUCAAGUCAUCAUGGCCCUUACGGGAUGGGCUACACACGUGCUACAAUGGCAAGUACAAAGGGUUGCAAACUCGCGAGAGUAAGCGGAUCCCAUAAAGCUUGUCGUAGUCCGGAUUGGAGUCUGCAACUCGACUCCAUGAAGUCGGAAUCGCUAGUAAUCGUAGAUCAGAAUGCUACGGUGAAUACGUUCCCGGGCCUUGUACACACCGCCCGUCACACCAUGGGAGUGGGCUGCAAAAGAAGUGGGUA